rnacentral:lncRNA from 1 species
GCAGCGCCAGCUGCGGCGGACUCUGCAGAGAUUGCUGAGCUGCAGCAGGCAGUGGUUGAAGAGCUGGGUAUCUCUAUGGAGGAACUUCGUCAGUUCAUCGAUGAAGAACUGGAAAAGAUGGACUGUAUACAGCAGCGCAAGAAGCAGCUGGCAGAGCUGGAGACGUGGGUGCUGCAGAAGGAGUCUGAGGUGGCUUAUGUUGAUCGGCUGUUUGAUGAUGCAUCUAGAAUGCAGAGAAAGUGGGAGCAGAGCUGAGCAGAUGGUUCCAUGGCUUCGUGAAGCUAUGGCUGCCUUAAGAAAAUCAGCUCAAGAUGUCCAGAAGUUCAUGGAUGCUGUGAAUAAGAGAAGCAGUUCUUAAGAUCUAUAUAAUGG